ensembl:lncRNA LOHAN2 lncRNA oncogene in head and neck cancer 2
AUUAUAGCCAUAACAUUCACAAGUUAGAUAAACUUCUGAGAAUAAGCCCCAGGGCGUGGAAGGGAUUAAGGAAGAGUCCGAUUUCCUCAUCAGUUGCAGCUGGUAGACGGUGGUACCAGGACUUCUGUUGAGUGACUUUGGGGCAGCCGCCCUACAGGCUCAACUCCCAGAAGCUACCUGGCCCGAUCACCUGGAAUAGGGAGUCCCCCUGUCACGGGAAAGGAUGAGAAGGACAGCGUUUCACUAUGUUGUCCAGGCUUGUUUCAAACUCCUGGGCUCAAGCCAUCAGCCUGCCUCAACCUCCUAAAGUGCUGACAUUACAGGCAUGAGCCACUGUGCCCAGCCAGGAAAUGUUUCAAAUACUUGAGAUUUUUGAUGAACCAAGCUGGCUGGUGUCGCCUCAGUUUGUCUAAAUUACCAAGGACCGCUGGAAUUUCCCUGGGAAUAUGUUUCGGGAAAGUUGAUACCACAGCAGAAGUGGGAUGUUUCAGAAGAUGAUUGUUCAGCAAAUGAAUGGAAAAAAAAAUAAAAGGAAAACAAAAUGAGACAACCGUCCAAAUCUCUUGGCUUGAAAAUUAAAUGAUACUGAAAAAAUGCAGCUUUCACGGGGCACUGUGAUUAGAUAUUUUUCUGAAAUCAAUUUUCUCUACAAAUUGGUAUUUUAACAGAGUGAUCACAAUCUAUUGUACAAAAUAUUUUAAACACUAUUUGUACAUUCACAUAUUUGGUAUGUUUAAGUAAAGUGUGCUUGUUCCCACA